AACGACCGCACCUACAUAUUUUUGCAUGUUUACAAUUCUAAUUUUAAACAGCCAAUCGACGCGUAACUGUAAAUGUUACCAAGAACCGGAUCGGCUGUUUAAAAUUAAAAUUGUAAACAUGCAAAAAUAUGUAGGUGCGGUCGUU